rnacentral:rRNA from 1 species
GCGGCGUGCUUAACACAUGCAAGUCGAACGGAAAGGCCCUGCUUUUGUGGGGUGCUCGAGUGGCGAACGGGUGAGUAACACGUGAGUAACCUGCCCUUGACUUUGGGAUAACUUCAGGAAACUGGGGCUAAUACCGGAUAGGAGCUCCUGCUGCAUGGUGGGGGUUGGAAAGUUUCGGCGGUUGGGGAUGGGCUCGCGGCUUAUCAGCUUGUUGGUGGGGUAGUGGCUUACCAAGGCUUUGACGGGUAGCCGGCCUGAGAGGGUGACCGGCCACAUUGGGACUGAGAUACGGCCCAGACUCCUACGGGAGGCAGCAGUGGGGAAUAUUGCACAAUGGGCGGAAGCCUGAUGCAGCAACGCCGCGUGCGGGAUGACGGCCUUCGGGUUGUAAACCGCUUUCGCCUGUGACGAAGCGUGAGUGACGGUAAUGGGUAAAGAAGCACCGGCUAACUACGUGCCAGCAGCCGCGGUGAUACGUAGGGUGCGAGCGUUGUCCGGAUUUAUUGGGCGUAAAGGGCUCGUAGGUGGUUGAUCGCGUCGGAAGUGUAAUCUUGGGGCUUAACCCUGAGCGUGCUUUCGAUACGGGUUGACUUGAGGAAGGUAGGGGAGAAUGGAAUUCCUGGUGGAGCGGUGGAAUGCGCAGAUAUCAGGAGGAACACCAGUGGCGAAGGCGGUUCUCUGGGCCUUUCCUGACGCUGAGGAGCGAAAGCGUGGGGAGCGAACAGGCUUAGAUACCCUGGUAGUCCACGCUGUAAACGGUGGGUACUAGGUGUGGGGUCCAUUCCACGGGUUCCGUGCCGUAGCCAACGCUUUAAGUACCCCGCCUGGGGAGUACGGCCGCAAGGCUAAAACUCAAAGGAAUUGACGGGGCCCCGCACAAGCGGCGGAGCAUGCGGAUUAAUUCGAUGCAACGCGUAGAACCUUACCUGGGUUUGACAUGGAUCGGGAGUGCUCAGAGAUGGGUGUGCCUCUUUUGGGGUCGGUUCACAGGUGGUGCAUGCCUGUCGUCAGCUCGUGUCGUGAGAUGUUGGGUUAAGUCCCGCAACGAGCGCAACCCUUGUUCACUGUUGCCAGCACGUUAUGGUGGGGACUCAGUGGAGACCGCCGGGGUCAACUCGGAGGAAGGUGGGGAUGACGUCAAGUCAUCAUGCCCCUUAUGUCCAGGGCUUCACGCAUGCUACAAUGGCUGGUACAGAGAGUGGCGAGCCUGUGAGGGUGAGCGAAUCUCGGAAAGCCGGUCUCAGUUCGGAUUGGGGUCUGCAACUCGACCUCAUGAAGUCGGAGUCGCUAGUAAUCGCAGAUCAGCAACGCUGCGGUGAAUACGUUCCCGGGGCUUGUACACACCGCCCGUCAAGUCAUGAAAGUUGGUAACACCCGAAGCCGGUGGCCUAACCGUUAUGGGGGAGCCGUCGAAGGUGGGACUGGUGAUUAGGACUAAGUCG